rnacentral:rRNA from 1 species
GACAGAGGUCUCGAGCGUUAGGCGGAAUCACUGGGCUUAAAGCGUGUGUAGGCGGAGUGCUAAGUACCUUGUGAAAUCCCACGGCUUAACCGUGGAACUGCUGGGUAUACUGGUUCUCUUGGGCCACUAGGGGCUACUGGAACAAACGGUGGAGCGGUGAAAUGCGUAGAUAUCGUUUGGAACGCCAAUGGUGAAAACAAGUAGCUGGGAGUG